rnacentral:rRNA from 1 species
GACGAACCGUGCGAACGUUGUUCGGAAUCACUGGGCGUAAAGGGCGCGUAGGCGGGCGAGCGAGUCCGGGGUGAAACCUUCCGGCCCAACCGGAAACCGGCCUGGGAUACCGCUCGCCUCGAGGGGGGUAGGGGCACGCGGAACUUCCGGUGGAGCGGUGAAAUGCGUUGAUAUCGGAAGGAACGCCGGUGGCGAAAGCGGCGUGCUGGGCCCCUCCUGACGCUGAGGCGCGAAAGCCAGGGGAG